GAAGGUAGAGCUCAGAGGUAGAGCACAUGCCUAGCAUGCAGGAGAUCCUGGGUUCAAUCCCCAGCACCGCCA
rnacentral:tRNA from 1 species